CGCGGUAAUUCCAGCUCCAAUAGCGUAUAUUAGAGUUGUUGCAGUUAAAAAGCUCGUAGUUGGAUUUCUGUUGGGAUUUUCAGGUACCGCCUGUAAUGGGUGUGCGCUUCGAUUUAUCUCGGCAUUUUUCCGGUGAGCCAUUCGCGCUUAAUUGCGUUGUUUGGUUUUUUCCGGAACUUUUACUUUGAGAAAAAUAGAGUGUUUCAAGCAGGCUUUUCGCUUUGAAUACUGCAGCAUGGAAUAAUAAGAUAGGACUUUGGUUCUAUUUUGUUGGUUUCUAGGACUAAAGUAAUGAUUAAUAGGGACAGUUGGGGGCAUUCGUAUUUAACUGUCAGAGGUGAAAUUCUUAGAUUU
rnacentral:rRNA from 1 species